UACGGAGGGGGCUAGCGUUGUUCGGAAUUACUGGGCGUAAAGCGCACGUAGGUGGCUUUGUAAGUUAGAGGUGAAAGCCCGGGGCUCAACUCCGGAAUUGCCUUUAAGACUGUAUCGCUAGAACGUCGGAGAGGUAAGUGGAAUUCCGAGUGUAGAGGUGAAAUUCGUAGAUAUUCGGAAGAACACCAGUGGCGAAGGCGACUUACUGGACGACUGUUGACACUGAGGUGCGAAAGCGUGGGGAGCAAACAGG
rnacentral:rRNA from 1 species